rnacentral:lncRNA from 1 species
CUGGUCUCUGAGGGGGCUGGGGGCCGUGGGCAGGGGGCUUCCAGGCGUCUACCCAAUUCCCAGCCGUCUCUUGCUCUCAUGCGCACGUUGAACCUAAAGCAGACCUCGCAGCAGAUAGAGUCAAUGUUUCAGACUUUGUCCUCCGGCAUUCUAGAGGCAUCUCUCCUGGGGCACUCAUCACCAGACUGGGUCACGGAGCAUCCUUCCCUAGCUUCCUGUGAACUUCAUGGACCACCCAGAGGGACUCAUAUAUAGAUAGUUACGGUAAGUAACAACGGACUUUGGUCCAGUAAACAUUUAUUGUUUCGAUCCAAUAAACAUCUAUUAUAAAAUAGACUCUAUAUUAAU